CAGCCGCCGGUAAUACAGAGGGUGCGAGCGUUAAUCGGAUUUACUGGGCGUAAAGCGUGCGUAGGCGGCUUCUUAAGUCGGAUGUGAAAUCCCUGAGCUUAACUUAGGAAUUGCAUUCGAUACUGGGAAGCUAGAGUAUGGGAGAGGAUGGUAGAAUUCCAGGUGUAGCGGUGAAAUGCGUAGAGAUCUGGAGGAAUACCGAUGGCGAAGGCAGCCAUCUGGCCUAAUACUGACGCUGAGGUACGAAAGCAUGGGGAGCAAACAGGAUUAGAUACCCCUGUAGUCCCUGUCUCUUAUACAC
rnacentral:rRNA from 1 species